UACGUAGGGGGCAAGCGUUGUCCGGAAUUAUUGGGCGUAAAGCGCGCGCAGGCGGUCCUUUAAGUCUGAUGUGAAAGCCCACGGCUCAACCGUGGAGGGUCAUUGGAAACUGGGGGACUUGAGUACAGAAGAGGAAAGCGGAAUUCCACGUGUAGCGGUGAAAUGCGUAGAGAUGUGGAGGAACACCAGUGGCGAAGGCGACUUUCUGGUCUGUAACUGACACUGAGGCGCGAAAGCGUGGGGAGCGAACAGG
rnacentral:rRNA from 1 species